UACGUAGGGCGCAAGCGUUGUCCGGAAUUAUUGGGCGUAAAGAGCUCGUAGGCGGUCUGUUACGUCUGCUGUGAAAACCCAGGGCUUAACUUCGGGCUUGCGGUUGAUACGGGCGGGCUGGAGUUCGGUAGGGGAGACUGGAAUUCCUGGUGUAGCGGUGAAAUGCGCAGAUAUCAGGAGGAACACCGGUGGCGAAGGCGGGUCUCUGGGCCGAUAUUGACGCUGAGGAGCGAAAGCGUGGGGAGCGAACAGG
rnacentral:rRNA from 1 species